rnacentral:rRNA from 1 species
UACGGAGGAUCCAAGCGUUAUCCGGAAUCAUUGGGUUUAAAGGGUCCGUAGGCGGUUUUAUAAGUCAGUGGUGAAAUCCGGCAGCUCAACUGUCGAACUGCCAUUGAUACUGUAGAACUUGAAUUAUUGUGAAGUAACUAGAAUAUGUAGUGUAGCGGUGAAAUGCUUAGAGAUUACAUGGAAUACCAAUUGCGAAGGCAGGUUACUAACAAUAUAUUGACGCUGAUGGACGAAAGCGUGGGGAGCGAACAGG